rnacentral:sRNA from 1 species
UGCUUUUUAUAGCUGGUGUCGAGGACAAGAGAACCACAAGCCGUGGCCAGUCUGCUGAGAGACCACUGAGGGACAGACGGGUUGUGGGCCUGGAGCAGCCCCGGAGGGAAGGAGCAUUUGAAAGUGGACAGGUAGAGCCCAGGCCCAGAGAGCCCCAGGGCUGCUGCCAGGAAGGCCAGCGCAUCCCUCCAGAGAGAGAAGAAUUAAUCCAGAGCGUGCUGGCACAGGUUGCAGAGCAGUUCUCAAGAGCAUUCAAAAUCAAUGAACUGAAAGCCGAAGUUGCAAAUCACUUGGCUGUACUAGAGAAACGUGUGGAAUGACCAACUGCCCCUGUAAGUACAGUUUUUUGGAUAACCACAAGAAGUUGACUCCUCGACGCGAUGUUCCCACUUACCCCAAGUAUCUGCUCUCUCCAGAGACCAUCGAGGCCCUGCGGAAGCCGACCUUUGACGUCUGGCUUUGGGAGCCCAACGAGAUGCUGAGCUGCCUGGAGCACAUGUACCACGACCUCGGGCUGGUCAGGGACUUCAGCAUCAACCCUGUCACCCUCAGGAGGUGGCUGCUCUGCGUCCACGACAACUACAGAAACAACCCCUUCCACAACUUCCGGCACUGCUUCUGCGUGGCCCAGAUGAUGUACAGCAUGGUCUGGCUCUGCAGUCUCCAGGAGAAGUUCUCACAAACGGAUAUCCUGAUCCUAAUGACAGCGGCCAUCUGCCACGAUCUGGACCAUCCCGGCUACAAUAACACGUACCAGAUCAACGCCCGCACAGAGCUGGCGGUCCGCUACAAUGACAUCUCACCACUGGAGAACCACCACUGCGCCGUGGCCUUCCAGAUCCUCGCCGAGCCCGAGUGCAACAUCUUCUCCAACAUCCCACCUGAUGGGUUCAAGCAGAUCCGACAGGGAAUGAUCACGUUAAUCUUGGCCACUGACAUGGCAAGACAUGCAGAAAUUAUGGAUUCUUUCAAAGAGAAAAUGGAGAAUUUUGACUACAGCAAUGAGGAGCACAUGACCCUGCUGAAGAUGAUUUUGAUAAAAUGCUGUGAUAUCUCUAACGAGGUCCGUCCAAUGGAAGUCGCAGAGCCUUGGGUGGACUGUUUAUUAGAGGAAUAUUUUAUGCAGAGCGACCGUGAAAAGUCAGAAGGCCUUCCCGUGGCCCCAUUCAUGGACCGAGACAAAGUGACCAAGCCCACAGCCCAGAUUGGGUUCAUCAAGUUUGUCCUGAUCCCAAUGUUUGAAACAGUGACCAAGCUCUUCCCCAUGGUUGAGGAGAUCAUGCUGCAGCCACUUUGGGAAUCCCGAGAUCGCUACGAGGAACUGAAGCGGAUAGAUGACGCCAUGAAAGAGUUACAGAAGAAGACGGACAGCUUGAUGUCUGGGGCCACCGAGAAGUCCAGAGAGAGAAGCACAGAUGUGAAAAACAGUGAAGGAGACUGUGCCUGAGGAAAGCGGGGGGCGUGGCUGCGGUUCCGGACGGUCUGGCCAAGCUGCGCGGGAUCCUUGUGCAGGGAAGAGCUGCCCUGGGCACCUGGCACCAUAAGACCACGUUUUCUAAGAACCAUUUUGUCCACUGAUACAAAAAAAAAAGGAAUUCAUGAUGCUGUACAGAAUUUUAUUUUUAAACUGUCUUUUAAAUAAUAUAUUCUUAUACGGAAA